UACGGAGGAUCCAAGCGUUAUCCGGAUUUAUUGGGUUUAAAGGGUGCGUAGGCGGCCUGUUAAGUCAGGGGUGAAAGACGGUGGCUCAACCAUCGCAGUGCCCUUGAUACUGACGGGCUUGAAUGGACUAGAGGUAGGCGGAAUGAGACAAGUAGCGGUGAAAUGCAUAGAUAUGUCUCAGAACACCGAUUGCGAAGGCAGCUUACUAUGGUCUGAUUGACGCUGAGGCACGAAAGCGUGGGGAUCAAACAGG
rnacentral:rRNA from 1 species